rnacentral:rRNA from 1 species
CUACGGGUCGCUGCAGUGAGGAAUAUUGCGCAAUGGGCGAAAGCCUGAUGCAGCAACGCCGCGUGGAGGAUGACACUUUUCGGAGCGUAAACUCCUUUUAUAUAGGAAGAAGAUGACGGUACUAUAUGAAUAAGCGCCGGCUAACUCCGUGCCAGCAGCCGCGGUAAUACGGAGGGCGCAAGCGUUACUCGGAAUCACUGGGCGUAAAGAGCGUGUAGGCGGAUUAAAAAGUCAGAAGUGAAAUCCUAUAGCUUAACUAUAGAACUGCUUCUGAAACUCUUAAUCUAGAAUAUGGGAGAGGUAGAUGGAAUUUCUGGUGUAGGGGUAAUAUCCGUAGAGAUCAGAAGGAAUACCGAUUGCGAAGGCGAUCUACUAGAACAUUAUUGACGCUGAGACGCGAAAGCGUGGGGAGCAAACAGGAUUAGAUACCCGCGUAGUC